UGGGGAAUAUUGCACAAUGGGCGCAAGCCUGAUGCAGCGACGCCGCGUGGGGGAUGAAGGCCUUCGGGUUGUAAACUCCUUUCGCUAGGGACGAAGCCUAUGGUGACGGUACCUGGAGAAGAAGCACCGGCUAACUACGUGCCAGCAGCCGCGGUAAUACGUAGGGUGCGAGCGUUGUCCGGAAUUACUGGGCGUAAAGAGCUCGGAGGUGGUUUGUCGCGUCGUCUGUGAAAUCCCGGGGCUUAACUUCGGGCGUGCAGGCGAUACGGGCAUAACUUGAGUGCUGUAGGGGAGACUGGAAUUCCUGGUGUAGCGGUGAAAUGCGCAGAUAUCAGGAGGAACACCAAUGGCGAAGGCAGGUCUCUGGGCAGUAACUGACGCUGAGGAGCGAAAGCAUGGGUAGCGAACAGG
rnacentral:rRNA from 1 species